CACCCAUGUCCUUCCUUGGACUUCAGUGAAAGCAGUUAUAAGAGAAAAAACCCAAAACAAAGAAAUUCAACUCUGAAGAUGCUCAGACACCUUGUAUGCUUAGUCAGAUGUGUGAGCCUGCAUAUCUCCCUGGUACUGCAAAACUAAAGACAUUUGGAUGGAUUUCCUAUCAAACAGGAAUGGCAGAUGAGCUAAAGUUAGCAGCCGGCUAAACUAAAAGAUGGUGAUUUUUUUUUUUUUAAACGGCAAAGUGCCAGGAGUGACUAUGUGGAGUGGAAGCAAUCCCUACCAUGCCAGUCCUGGACUCCAAGCAGUGUAGUGGAAGAGGAAUUCUGCUGUACUGUCUCUGUGGUGCUGGUGGUUAUUCAAAAUGGCGAUCUGUUGGUUGGGCAA